rnacentral:rRNA from 1 species
CCUACGGGUGGCAGCAGUGAGGAAUAUUGGUCAAUGGCCGGAAGGCUGAACCAGCCAUGCCGCGUGAAGGUCAGUGCCCUAUGGGCGUUAAACUUCUUUUGUGCGGGAGCAAUAAUGGUCACGUCUGGCCAGACGAGAGUACCGUACGAAUAAGCAUCGGCUAACUCCGUGCCAGCAGCCGCGGUAAUACGGGGGAUGCAAGCGUUAUCCGGGUUUAUUGGGUUUAAAGGGUGCGUAGGCUGUGAGGUAAGUCAGCGGGGAAAUGCCCCCGCUCAACGGGGUGGAGUGCCAUUGAUACUGCCUUGCUGGAAGGCGGAUGCCGUGGGAGGAAUGUGUGGUGUAGCGGUGAAAUGCAUAGAUAUCACACAGAACACCGAUUGCGAAGGCAUCUCACGAAUCCGCGAUUGACGCUGAUGCACGAAAGCGUGGGUAUCAAACAGGAUUAGAUACCCUGGUAGUC